ACAAACAGCUUGUGCAGUCCCCGCUUCCACUUCUGCAGCAGCCAUUCAUCUCGUCGCAGGCGCCACCUCCAGAUCAAUCAUGGUUCACCAUUGCUGCCGCCGAUUCUGGUCUUCCUCUUCUCGUGCGCUCGUUGAUGAAGGUUGAGCGACUUGCUAGGAUGAUCCAAAAGUUUUUUAUCAGGGGAAUUGAUUGUAGCAUCACUGCUUAAUCGGAACAUUAAAUCAAGGCUUUUAUUGAGGAAUCCUGAGAAAGCUGCUGCUCUUUUUGGUGAACAAGAGGAUAAAAAAUUACAGGGUGUCAUUCUCAACGCAUCCUUAUGAACUUGCUGGGAGUAGCAAGGUGACACUCAGAACCCUGGGGAUUUGGAUUCUUCUAUUUUUGAGAGAGCAAGCAUUCGCCAUAUAUUAUCUUCAUUGAUGAAAUUGAUAGCAUUGGAUCCGCUCGUAUAGAGCUGGCAGCGGAAACAGAGAUAGUGAAGUUCCGCGAAUAAUGCUGGAGCUUCUCAAUCAACUAGAUGGUUUUGAGGCAUCGAAUAAGAUAAAAGUAGUAAUGACUACAAAUCGGAUCAACAUUCUGGACCAAGCUGCUUAGAUCGGGAAGAAUUGAUCGAAACAUCAGAGUUUCCAAAUCCUAACGAAGAGGUAUUCUUCUAAUUGUGCAUAACCAUAUAUAUAGUACACUGCCAAACCGAUUUUCAUCAUAGCUAAUUAUUCAAAAUUAUUUCAGUCUCGGUUCGGUAUCUUGAAGAUCCACUCGAGGAAAAUGAAUUUGAUGAGAGAGAUCGAUCCGAAAAAAAUUUAUGAGAAAAUGAAUUUGAUGAGAGGGAUCGAUCCGAAAAAAAUUUAUGAAAAAAUGAAUGGAGUGUCCAGUCCAACAUAUAUAAUAACUUCUUUUGAUUAAAUUUAAAAUGUUUGUUACGCUCCUAAUUUUCAUAUAGUGUUACUAUUAUAGACACUUUUUUGUCGAAAAUUGUUUUAUUUAGUCAAAACACUAAAGGGCUCUACUUAUAUACAAGUUUUGAAAGGUUUGAAAACUCUUAAUAAUAAAAAAAAUGUUAAAAAAAUAGGUCUGCCAUUUGAUAUUUUCUUAGAAAAAUUACAUGGUGUGUUUACUUGUCAGGUUUUGAUUUUGAAUAGUAAAAUUUUGAAUUGAAAUAAUUGUUUGAUGUGAUAUUUUGAAUGUAAAAUUAGAUUUUUGUGUAAUAAAAUAAAUAAAAAUUGAGUGUUUGAUUUGAUAUUUUUGGAGGAAAAAAAAAAUUAGAAUAGUAAAAUCAAUUCUAAAAUCUUACAAGUAAACAGACAGUUUUUCAUAGUGUAACUUUUUAUUCAUAUUUUUCCCACGACCUUUCAACGAAAGAAAAUAAAGUACGAAGCUAUGAUUCCAGAGGCUCUGUUUGCAGUGAAGUCGAAAUAUUCGCCUUGAGGGAAAUGAGAGUUCAUAUGACGCAAGAAGACUUAAAAAAACAGAAAAACAUGUCCUUGUUGAAUUAAGUUCUGCAUUUCUCCGUCGCUUUUUUUAGGUCGAAAGGUAUUUUCAGGUGAUGCAUGUUGAACGUAAAAUGUUCCUUUUUUUUUUUUUAAUAGAUCUGCAUGG